AAAACUUUAACAACGGAUCUCUUGGUUCUGGCAUCGAUGAAGAAGCAGCGAAAUGCGAUAAGUAAUGUGAAUUGCAGAAUUCAGUGAAUCAUCGAAUCUUUGAACGCACAUUGCGCCCGCCAGCAUUCUGGCGGCAUCCUGUUCGAGCGUCAUUUCAACCCUCAAGCCCAGUUGGUGUUGGGGCCCUACGGUCGACGUAGGCCCUUAAAGGUAGUGGCGGACCCUCCCGGAGCCUCCUUUGCGUAGUAACUUAACGUCUCGCACUGGGAUCCGGAGGGACUCUUGCCGUAAAACCCCCAAAACUUUUACAGGUUGACCUCGGAUCAGGUAGGAAUACCCGCUGAACUUAAGCAUAUCAAUAAGCGGAGGAAAAGAAACCAACAGGAUUCCCCAGUAACGGCGAGUGAAGCGCAACAGCUCAAAUUUGAAAUCUGGCCCCAGGCCCGAGUUGUAAUUUGCAGAGGAUGCUUUUGGCCGGUGCCUUCCGAGUUCCCUGGAACGGGACGCCAUAGAGGUGAGAGCCCCGUAGGUUGGACACCAAGCCUUUGUAAAGCUCCUUCGACGAGUCGAGUAGUUUGGGAAUGCUGCUCAAAAUGGAGGUAUAUUUCUUCUAAAGCUAAAUAUAGGCCAGAGACCGAUAGCGCACAAGUAGAGUGAUCGAAAGAUGAAAAGCACUUUGAAAAGAGGUUAAACAGCACGUGAAAUUGUUAAAAGGAAGCGCUUGUGACCAGACUUGCCCGGUGAAUCACCCAGCUCUCGGGCUGGGGCACUUCGCCGGCACAGGCCAGCAUCAGCUUGCCGUCGGGGACAAAAGCUUCAGGAACGUAGCUCUCUUCGGGAGUGUUAUAGCCUGUUGCAUAAUACCCUUCGCGGGCUGAGGUACGCGCUCCGCAAGGAUGCUGGCGUAAUGGUCAUCAGCGACCCGUCUUGAAACACGGACCAAGAGUCAACCUAUGUGCGAGUUUGGUGUUAAACCCUACGCGUAAUGAAAGUGAACGCAGGUGAGACUUCGGCGCAUCAUCGACCGAUCCUGAUGUUCUCGAUGGAUUUGAGUAAGAGCAUAUAGGUUGGACCCGAAAGAAGUGAACUAUGCGUGUGUAGGUGAAGCCAGAGGAAACUCUGGUGGAGGCUCGCAGCGGUUCUGACGUGCAAAUCGAUCGUCAAACAUGCGCAGGGGCGAAAGACUAAUCGAACCUUCUAGUAGCUGGUUUCCGCCAAGUUUCCCUCAGGAUAGCAGUGUUGAACUCAGUUUAUGAGGUAAAGCGAAUGAUUAGGGACUCGGGCGCUAUAUUGCCUUCAUCCAUUCUCAAACUUUAAAUAUGUAAGAAGCCCUUGUUGCUUAAUUGAACGUGGCAUUCGAAUGUAUCAACACUAGUGGGCCAUUUUUGGUAAGCAGAACGCGAUCGGAUGAACGAACGCAGAGUUAAGGUGCCAGAGUAGUCGCUCAUCAGACACCACAAAAGGUGUUAGUACAUCUUGACAGCAGGACUGGCCAUGGAAGUCGGAACGCUAAGACUGUGAACAACUCACCUCCGAAUGUACUAGCCCUGAAAUGAAUGGCGCUCAAGCGACUCACCCAUACUCGCCCUCA
rnacentral:rRNA from 1 species